GAAAGCUAGGGGAGCAAAUGGGAUUAGAGACCCCAGUAGUCCUAGCCGUAAACGAUGGAUACUAGGUGCUGUGCGACUCGACCUGUGCAGUGCUGUAGCUAACGCGUUAAGUAUCCUGCC
rnacentral:rRNA from 1 species